rnacentral:rRNA from 1 species
AGCCUCUGUUGUACACGGUGUCGGGGGAUCGAGGACUGCAGUACGCCUUUGGUCGGGGUUCGCCCACGCCACGUGCUUAGGAUGCUGGCAAAAUGGCUUUAAACGACCCGUCUUGAAACACGGACCAAGGAGUCUAACAUAUGUGCGAGUGAAACACUCGCAUACAUGUUAGAGUUCACUUCAAUCGUUUCCCUUUCAAAAACACUCGCAUAUAUGUUAGAGUUC